rnacentral:sRNA from 1 species
UCAGACCCGGACAGAAGUUAAAGAGCCGUGUCGAAAACGCUUCGCCCAAGGCAGAGUGAUCUGAACUAACUAAAAAGGCCGCUUCGCGGCCUUUUUUCUUUUCUGAAACUGGCAGGCACCGUAAAAUCAAACACCUUGCAGUCUGAUUAAUGGAAAUU